rnacentral:lncRNA from 1 species
CUAACAAAGGACUAACCGCUUUUGGUAGAGGAUUAAAAAUAAGAGAUAGAUUGUGAAAACCGACCCUUUAGAAUAACAAGAACAACAAUAAGCCAAAAUUUAUCACCUUUCUUAAAUACCUAGAAGUUAUCUAAGAUUUUGAAAAAGUGUUUAAUCAUACAACCUAAAGUUUAUUCUUCAAGGUUGAAGAAUAAAUCGAAGAGAAACCACACAUAAUGCUCACAUUUAUUUAUCGAUAUUAUCCAUCAUAAUCCUCCCUAAAAACGAAAAAGACACCCCUUUAUAUAGAGAGAAGUCACUUAACUCUAGCAAAAUAAUGAGAGAAAAUCCUAACUACUUUGGACUAAAAGUCCUAACUACUUUGGACAAAAUGUCCAACUACCUUACGAUAUGAUCUUGAAAGUCCAAAUUAAAUCUUAGAAAUCUUAAUAAUUUUCGAAAAAGAAAUAAUGUCCUAAGUACUUUGGACAAAAUCUCCAGCUACCUAUAGAUAUGAUAUUGAAAGUCAAAAAUCAAUCUUGGACUAUCAAAACUUGAAAGAAAUUUGCAAGCGACAUGUCACCAACUUGCAUUCAACUUCUGGCAUGACUAUUGUACCCUUAUUUGACAUCAUGUAAGUCCGUUUUAUAUUAAAACAUGACUUCAUGUAGGACUUAUUAGGCAGCAAAUUUGGAUACACUUUAGGUGCCAAAAUAGUCCAAAAGCGGGCUGAUUUUGAUCUUCUUCAAAGGAUGUCUCUUGGGAUCUAAUACUCCUCUUGUUGGAUAUAAAUUUGGGCCAUAAAAUAAUUGUAAUUCUUUGUCAAUUAAUAUCCUUUAUUAUCCUUAGCUCUUUCUUUCACUUAACAACUUCUUUAUUUGCACUUGAAGUCGAAUGGUCUUGUGUUUGUAACGCUUUAGCUUGACUUCUUGUUAAAGGCCCUCUAUGAGAUUCCAAAGUUUCAUCCUUGUCCUUGAGUAGAUUGAGCUUCCAAGGACGCUAUCAUUCCUCUCUUCUUGAAAAAAAAAACUCGCCCUCGAAUUUUGACAUUGAUCUUCAAGAACUAGGAUUCCCUCUUUUUAUUUGCUUUACUGACUCUGAAACCAAAUAAUAUUGAAUUUGGAAAAUACUUAUAAGCAAUAACACCUUCUUCUUUUGGGGGGGGGGGGGUUGAUUUUUUUGGCUCAAGAUCCUCUCAAGAUUAUCAUGAUUGGAAUCUUGAUAUGCAUAUGCUCGGAUACCACUUGAUAACACUAUGAUAGGGGAUUAAGAAUUAUUAGGAAAAAUCAUGAAAUAUGUGGAAGCUAAAAGAAAAUAAAGAAACGAAAAAGACGGAAGCUAAAGAUAGAUUGAAUUCAAGAAGUCUAUGCUUGAAGUUGAAUCCUAGCAACAACAAUUAGCUAAUAAAGAACUAACCACCUUUGAUAGAGAAUUAAAAAUAAGAGAUAUAUUAUAAAACCCGACCCAUUAGAAUAGCAAGAACAACAAUAAGCCUAAACUUAUUACAUUUCUUGAAUACCUAGAAGUAAUCUAAGAUUUCAAAAAUAGGUUAAUCUUACCACCUUAAGUUGAUUCUUGAAGGUUGAAGAAUAAAUUCAAGAGUAACCACACACAAUGGUGAAAAUUCUCACAUUUCUUUAUUGCUAUUAUC